rnacentral:rRNA from 1 species
CGUGUCUCUAGUGUCAGCCGCCGCGGUAAUACAGAGGAUGCAAGCGUUAUCCGGAAUGAUUGGGCGUAAAGCGUGCGCAGGCGGUUAUGCAAGACAGAUGUGAAACUCCCCGGGCUCAACCUGGGAACUGCAUUUGUGACUGCAUAGCUAGAGUACGGUAGAGGGGGAUGGAAUUCCGCGUGUAGCAGUGAAAUGCGUAGAUAUGCGGAGGAACACCGAUGGCGAAGGCAACUCCCCUGGACCUGUACUGACGCUCAUGCACGAAAGCGUGGGGA